rnacentral:rRNA from 1 species
UGGUUAAUUCGAUGCAACGCGAAAACCUUACCCACCUUUGACAUGUACGGAACCUUUAGAGAUAGAGGGGUGCUCGAAAGAGAGCCGUAACACAGGUGCUGCAUGGCUGUCGUCAGCUCGUGUCGUGAGAUGUUGGGUUAAGUCCCGCAACGAGCGCAACCCUUGUCACUAGUUGCUACAUUCAGUUGGGCACUCUAAUGAGACUGCCGGUGACAAGCCGGAGGAAGGUGGGGAUGACGUCAAGUCCUCAUGGCCCUUAUAGGUGGGGCUACACACGUCAUACAAUGGCUGGUACAAAGGGUUGCCAACCCGCGAGGGGGAGCCAAUCCCAUAAAGCCAGUCGUAGUCCGGAUCGUAGUCUGCAACUCGACUACGUGAAGUCGGAAUCGCUAGUAAUCGUGGAUCAGAAUGUCACGGUGAAUACGUUCCCGGGUCUU